GGCCUGGAGAUUGCUGAGAAGAUGAGACUGUCUGGCCAGUAAGCUCCAGAGAUUUACCUGUCUUUUCAUCCCCAACUCUGGGAUUACAAAUGCACACUACCAUAACUGCCUUCUCUUUAUGUGGGUUCAAUGGCCUGAACUUAUGUUUGAGAGGCAAAUGUUUUACUAACUGAGCUAUGUCCCCAUUCUGCUAUUGCCAGGAGCCAUCCCUGGUGGUGGACAGGUCCCAGCAGAGGAUGUAAGGAGUUGGCGAGGGAAGGAGGUGAGCCAGGCCAUGGUGGUGGUGAGAAUCUUGCAGCCUGACUGACUAGCAGCCAGAGUGCCUCUUUGUUUAUACAGAAUUUAGUAAGCUGGUAUAGAUUCAUGUUGGUCCAAAACAUAGGUCAUAUCAUUUUUGUUUUUUUGGACAUGUGUUUCAUUUCCUCUUGUUCAUAUUUUUGGUUGUGAGCCUUUAACAACUGAGCCAUCAGAGAGCGAGAUCCAUUCUAGCCUGUUCCCGCCAUGCUCUGUAUCAACCCAAGAUUGGAUGGAACCGCAGAGAACCAAACAGCCGCCACCCGCCUCGCUCAAGCUGAACAAGGAGGUGCUCAUUAAUCAUCUAACAGCAAAUCCAAGUUGUAUGCCUACAGCGUGCAAGGCCUUAUGGUUGUGGAAGCAUCUGAUUCUGUCAUCUGUGGUCCAUAAAGAGGAGAGGAGACAUCUACCACCUGACCUCUGAUGACUGACAGUUUUCAAAAGAAGCUCCCCAGAUGACAGUGGAGCUCAGGGGCCAGGAUGUGCUCACAUUUCAGUUCCAUAAAUACGCUAUCAUGAUGUGAUCACCAUGUGUGCCUUUGUACAAACCCCAAAUCAACAAGGGCUUAGUUGGUUAUGAGCUGAAAUCCUCAAAACUAAUUGGAAGUCAAAGGGGAAUACAAUCCGCGUCUCUGAUCUCCUGAACAGCACAUUUAUUCACCAGUCCCACAAGAUCCGGGCUCUGAGUGUGGCUGCAAGACUGAAGAGCAGAGAGGAAGACAAAUGCCACCAUAAAGGAAAAGAAAAGAAAUACUGAAACUAGGUAGGCCUGGCACCCUUUGAGUCUUGGAUGUCCUGGUCUACAGGAAGUAGGUGACGUCAAAGGGCAGAGAAUCAAUGCCUCCUUUGGGGGUGAGGCUGCAGGCAGAAAAGGAUACAGUCGCUCCUGCCCCUGCUGCCUUAAA